UGGUAUUAGGUGAUACGCCUAAUAAAAGGGAAGUUGGUACGAUUUACAUCAAACCCAACGCUGCCCCCGCAACGGUAUAUAAGCUAUUUGUAUCUACAGCCACUGUGAAAAAAACAUGGGAAGGCGAUACAUCCAGAUUACUUUGUUUAAUCACUUAUGAGCCCGGAGACCUGCCAAAAGC
rnacentral:ncRNA from 1 species